UCAAUCUGUGUGUGUCAGUCUGUAUGUCUAAGAUUGUAUCUGUGUGUUUAUGUGUCUGUGUGCAUCCACGUGUGGCAGAGUAUAUGUGUGGUUCUGUGUGUGGCAAUGUGCAUCUGUAUGUGUGCGUGACAAUUUAUCUGCAUAUGUGAACAUUUUCUUGCAUGCAUAUACCAACAUCACACACAAACAUACCCCUGUAUUCAAACGCUAACACUACACACAACAGAACCCCUGCAUUCAAACAUUAAAGGACCACUAUAGGCACCCAGACCACUUCAGCUUAAUGAAGUGGUCUGGGUGCCA